rnacentral:rRNA from 1 species
CGCUGGCGGCGUGCUUAACACAUGCAAGUCGAGCGGUAAGGCCCUUUCGGGGGGUACACGAGCGGCGAACGGGUGAGUAACACGUGAGUAAUCUGCCCUUCACUUCGGGAUAAGCACCGGAAACGGUGUCUAAUACUGGAUAUGAGCAUCCUGCGCAUGUGGGUGUUGGAAAGUUUUUCGUGGGGGAUGUGCUCGCGGCCUAUCAGCUUGUUGGUGAGGUAAUGGGCUCACCAAGGCUUCGACGGGUAGCCGGCCUGAGAGGGUGACCGGUCACACUGGGACUGAGACACGGCCCAGACUCCUACGGGAGGCAGCAGUGGGGAAUAUUGGACAAUGGGCGGAAGCCUGAUCCAGCAACGCCGCGUGAGGGAUGACGGCCUUCGGGUUGUAAACCUCUUUCAGUACUGACGAAGCGCAAGUGACGGUAGGUACAGAAGAAGCACCGGCCAACUACGUG